rnacentral:rRNA from 1 species
UGAAGUCCCUCGCGGAUGGAGCUGACGAGAGUCGCAGAUACCAGGUGGCUGCAACUGUUUAUUAAAAACACAGCACUGUGCAAAAUCGCAAGAUGACGUAUACGGUGUGACGCCUGCCCGGUGCCGGAAGGUUAAUUGAUGGGGUUAGCGCAAGCGAAGCUCUUGAUCGAAGCCCCGGUAAACGGCGGCCGUAACUAUAACGGUCCUAAGGUAGCGAAAUUCCUUGUCGGGUAAGUUCCGACCUGCACGAAUGGCGUAAUGAUGGCCACGCUGUCUCCACCCGAGACUCAGUGAAAUUGAAAUCGCUGUGAAGAUGCAGUGUACCCGCGGCUAGACGGAAAGACCCCGUGAACCUUUACUACAGCUUGGCACUGAACAUUGAACCUACAUGUGUAGGAUAGGUGGGAGGCUAUGAAGACGUGACGCCAGUUGCGUUGGAGCCGUCCUUGAAAUACCACCCUUGUAUGUUUGAUGUUCUAACUUAGACCCAUUAUCUGGGUUGAGGACAGUGCCUGGUGGGUAGUUUGACUGGGGCGGUCUCCUCCCAAAGAGUAACGGAGGAGCACGAAGGUGGGCUAAUCACGGUUGGACAUCGUGAGGUUAGUGCAAUGGCAUAAGCCCGCUUAACUGCGAGAAUGACGGUUCGAGCAGGUGCGAAAGCAGGUCAUAGUGAUCCGGUGGUUCUGUAUGGAAGGGCCAUCGCUCAACGGAUAAAAGGUACUCCGGGGAUAACAGGCUGAUACCGCCCAAGAGUUCAUAUCGACGGCGGUGUUUGGCACCUCGAUGUCGGCUCAUCACAUCCUGGGGCUGAAGUCGGUCCCAAGGGUAUGGCUGUUCGCCAUUUAAAGUGGUACGCGAGCUGGGUUUAGAACGUCGUGAGACAGUUCGGUCCCUAUCUGCCGUGGGCGUUGGAAGAUUGAAGGGGGCUGCUCCUAGUACGAGAGGACCGGAGUGGACGAACCUCUGGUGUUCGGGUUGUGUCGCCAGACGCAUUGCCCGGUAGCUAAGUUCGGAAUUGAUAAGCGCUGAAAGCAUCUAAGCGCGAAGCGAGCCCUGAGAUGAGUCUUCCCUGAUACUUUAAGUAUCCUAAAGGGUUGUUCGAGACUAGAACGUUGAUAGGCAGGGUGUGUAAGCGUUGUGAGGCGUUGAGCUAACCUGUACUAAUUGCCCGUGAGGCUUAACCAU